UAGUCCUGUCUUGAUUUCCCUGUCUCUGGGGCUCUAUGAAUAUUUCUAACUAGAGUCCUUUGGGCUCAUUUGCAAGAAGACUCCCUCCACAGGGCCUGGCUGGUGCCCGGACACUCCACUGGGGAAGGCGGGGUCUGUUUGGACCACAGCUCUGCUUGGUCAGCUCAUAAAUCUGGAGAGCUUCGCGUUAAAACCUCCUUGCAUAGUUUUACAUGGGGAUAACACCGAUUUGGCUUCUGAACUCUCUGAUUUUCUUGUAAACCCAGUGGACGGCUUCAUCCAGGGAAUUCAUGUUUGGGCUCUGUCCUGUCCUCAUAACCACGUCAUCCUAUUUGUGGGCAUGUUGGCCUCUGUGUCCCAGCGAUCCCUGAUGGAGGAUUGUUCCUAAAAGGAGAACCCAUGACUCCUGAAGCUUUGAUGACUCCUACCUGAUGGGAAUGAAGAUGGGAAAGACUUGGUAAUCAAGGAAGUGUGCCAGGCCUUGCGUUCAACCCUGAGAGGAUUGCUGGAAAGGAGAAUUUAAGUCAGCUAAAAGAGAAUGGGACUGUAAGGAUUAACCUGCUCUUUCUAGGCGUGGCAUUUAAAUGCUGACAAGUGAUAAGACUUGGGUUUCCAGAACACAGUAAAUUUUAAAUAUGCAAGGCAAGAGGUUCCCACAGACAAGUUAUUAUCACAUCUGACAUUUUGUGAAAACAGAGAGCAAUGCAUCAAACUGGAAUGCUGAAUGAGAUUCCAUCAUCUCGUGUUGUAAAAGGAAUAUGACCCCAACAGGCCAACAUUUCUGCCCCACCAUGGGAAAAGAACCAUCCAGGUGUGUCCAUUCCUACUGGCUGUAUAUGUAUAAUGUGUAAACAGAAGACACUGCCUUUUUAAGGCUGCUGGUCUAAACACCAGAACCUAGUAGCUACAGUUUUAUCCAGUCGCCAAGCUCAGCUUGGAAAUCUUCCUUCCUACCAAGACUUAACCCUCCUUCCUGGCUGAGCUUGAAGUUGCCUGUGCUGGAAGUCUUUGUCAUCCUUUGCUUGCUCCUUUGUGAGCGUUUGGAUAUUUACACUUCAUUCAUUCUGCUGCAGUUCAGGUAACUUGUCAACAAACCUUCCUUUUUCAGCUUUUCUGUACGCUUUUUUUCCCCCAGUACCGAGGAUUUCACACUGAGGCACAUCUGCAGUCCCUCCCCAACAUUUUUGAGAUAGGGUCUUGGUAAGUUGCCCAGGCUGGGCUGGAAUUUGUGAUCUUCCUGCUUCAGCCUCUCAGAGUCCCUGGCUUCUGUAGGCUUCCUGAAGGCAGGGCUAGUCCCUCGAGACACCUGUCAAAGCACUUCAUACACCAUGAGCACUGAGUGAGUGUGUGUGAACUGAAGUUUACCUGGAAAUUCCUGUAGCAAGGGAGGAAUUCCCACAGACGGGUGGCAGUGGCAAGGUGCAUCUCAGCGGCAUCUGUCAGCCGUGAAAUGCCCUGAUGUAGCACCUCACCAGUCCCUGCACCAGGCAAAUAAUUCUCUACUCCAAGGAAAGGGGGAGGGCUGGGAGAGAACACUUCAGGCCCUCCCUGCCCCAUCCGGCAGCACAUCCUCCCCAUGAGCCCUUGGAUGGCGUCAGUGGUGCCAUGGUAAGGAGGGCAGUCAGUCUGUCUAGGUUGAGUAAUGGUCCAGGGCUAGGUCACCACAGGGUGUGCAUGUUGGUGUGUGUCCAUGUGUAUGAUGUGUGUGUGUGAAUGCACACGGAGGGAGGGGGGACCUGCAACAUAACAGAAACGCCCUAACAGGCAAGGGGCAACCUGGUCCGUGUAGCACACCAGUGAAGGGUCAGCCUUUCCUUCUGGCCCACAAAGCCUGCCCGCUGCAGGCAGUGUGAAAUUUCACUCCAGAAUAGAAGUUAAUAUGUUAAUAGAGACCAGGUUGUUGCCAUAGCAACCACUACAGUAUCCUCUGACUCCUGUUAAUUCAUAAAAACCCAAAGGUGAGCAGAGGUGGUGAUGAUGCCUCUGGUUGAGCCAGUGUGCCGCCCUCGUCUGGCGUGGGGUAGAGGGCUGACUCCCCGGGUGGUGAGGCCCCUGCACACUCUGCAGACAGAGAAGGAUGAAGGACAGACAACUGGUUACCAAGGUAAUACCAGGCUGGGAGCACAAGAGGAGGAAAAAGGAUGGGAGUUACCUGCAGAGCAGAAGCUACUGCCUCCCGGGACCGGAGCCCUUGAUCCCACGUAACUUCCGUGCUCUCCAGGGUGCCAAAGACGGGUGCUUCAGGAGGACAGGGCCAUCAGUGCCAACCACCGGUAGGGCCAAAGCCGCACCAGUCUGGGAGUGUGGGCAGCGUCAGCCCCAUGCUUGCAGCCCAAGCACAAGGUGGGCAUGGAGGGCAAGUGCAAGGCCAGGAAAGUCACCGAGCUGAUCCAGGGAACAGUGUGGCAUGUCCUUGCUCUUGAGUCUUCUCCUGUUUCAGAAGCUGUGUGGACUGAGAUAAAGAAAACAACCAAGUGAGACGGCAGUGCUGGGGGGAGGCUCUGGGAGAUCAUUUGGUCCCCUCUGAGCAAACCCACUUGAGUUUCACAGAUAAGGAAAUAACAGUGUUCAUAAUAGCGGCUUCUUUUUAGUACGUGUGAAAGGGUUCCUGCAUACUUGAGAAACACCACCUCAUUUGUGUCUCAAGACAGUCCAAUGAGAUGGCCGUUAUCUUUGCUUGCAUUUCACAGAUGACAAAACAGACUCCAGAGGCCAACUCACUUACCUGAGGUGCCCUGGCCAGGCAGAGAAAGCCCUGUGCUAUGGUUGUUUACCAAGGCGAUUUCCAUUACACCAUGGCACCAUGCAGCAGACACCUUCCACGGGAUUGCUGUCCUAGAACCGAGCUGUUGGAAAGGGUUCCACUUGCCCAGUUGGCCAGAGACAUAUCUUUGUGGUUAGAUUGAAAUGCAGGGGCAGAACAUGAAGAUCAGGCCACAGAGGCAGUGGAUGCUGGGAGACAAUGUCCACUAUAUCCGUGAAUGCUCCAUGAGCCCUGAGGAUUGGGCCAUUUCCAAGGCCUGAGAAAGCCUGCUUGAGGUGCUGGAGGAGGAAGGGACCUUUAGAUCAGGGAUGAAACAGCUGAGACCAGGAGAAACACUGGAGAAAGAAGCUUGGUGCCCUGGACUGAGGAGGCCUGGACUUGAUCAUUUCAGAACUAGGCCUCAGAUCAUGGGGAAAAGCCUGAAGGAAACACCAAUCUAUGCAAGGAGGUUGUCCUAGACCAACAAAAUGGCCUCUGGGUGGAAAGAGUGAAGUUCCACCUGGAGAAGGCUAUGGAGUGACAGGACUGGGAGGUGUAUGGAGGUUACAGGAUAUGAGGGGUGGAGGAAGGAGAACAGCAAGUGCUAGGAGAAUUGGAAAGGAAUGUUCAGGAACUUAAAGAACAGGGAAGAAAUCUUAGAAACUGCCCAGUGUUUAAAGGCCGAGUCUUAGCUAAGAGACCUUCACCUCUUUCCUCACCUGCCCCCAGGUCCAGUGUGCUAUUUCCUGCAUCCCCAAGGUCGCUGUCCUGGGCCCUCUUUGCUACCACAACUGACUUCCCCAGGUUUAGUCUAUCCCAUCCCCACACCCUACGAAACACACUGUUGACGUUGCUGCUCGGUGCAUAGUCAUCCUUCUUCAGCUCAUCCUUCCCACUCCCAUCCUUUCUGUAGGAGCACCUCCGACUCAUUACCUUCAGGACCCCUUGGGCCCAUCACGUGUCUUCCAAGCACACCAUGCUUGAUUUCUCUUAUCUCACUAGACUGAGUGCUGUGAGUUGGGUCCAAUUCAUCUGGGAUCCUUAUACAAAACCCUGGAGCUCAAAGUUGGUUGUUCAUGUAGGGACAGAAAGUGGUGAACCCUGUUCUUAUCCAUCAUAAGGGCCACAAACAACACUCCUAUAACAACAACCAAAAAAAGAUUAAUAAGAGAAAAUCAGAAUGAAUUUACUUAAACAAGGCUUUAUGUGACAGGAGAACCUUCAGAAAUGAGGACUCAAACUCCAGAGGCAGCUGUCUGUUUUUAUACUUAGAUUGGAUGAAGAAGGCACCGCUAUGUAGAAAUGCGACAGGACGAGUGUAUGAUGUAAUGUAAUAGCAUGGGGGUGCCCGGCAGAGCCUGUCUGGUCAGAUUCUCUUGGUCUCUGUGUAGCGUUCCUCCUCCUGUGGGGGAGAAGGAGCAGGCACCUCUGGAGUGAAGGCCUCCAAGGAAGAAGGAAGAGUGAGCUUUCGAGGUUCAAUGGCCUGCUUUGGAGAGGGUUUUAGUAUCUAUGAGCCACCUUAAGGAAGAGGAAUUCUGGUUUCUUUGACUCCAGAAAAGAAUAAGAGGGAGAGACAGGAGGGCAUUAGACAGGCAGACGCUUUGCUCUUGAGGUUGUCUCUGAGCCCUUCUAAUCUCCUUUGGUUCACAGCACUCAGCAUGCUGGGCAUAGUGAUGCAUACCUGCAGUCCCAGCACUCCGGGAGGCUGAGACAGGAGGAUGGAAAGGUCAAGCCCAGCCUGGACAAUUUAGAGACUUAAUGAGACCCUAUUUCAAAGUAAAAAUUUUAAAAAAUAACAAAGAGCUGUGGAAGUGUGCAUACAAUUUAGGUUCUUCCUAAUACCAAAAAACGCUUUUUUUAAAAGAACUUAGUAUGCCAAAGGUUGGGGUGGCAUUUUCUGAGUCCCAGCAGUAUAAUUAGCAAUAGCAACUUGUCAAUUCCAUUAAAAAGGAGAUAGGAGGUGGUCUGCUGAUAGCCAAAGUUGAAGCUGAAACAAUAGAGUUGAAAAAGCUCAUUCACUGUGCGCCCUCUUGUGGGGAAGAGGACAAAGAACACGUUUUUCUCCUUGUGUUGGGGGUUGGAAUCCCGGGCCUCCUUCAUACUGGACUAGAACUUGUGAACCUCCUGUCUAAGCCUCCAGAGUAGCUGGGCUUACAGGCUUGGACUAUUCUAAUUUCGAAGAUAGAAAUUUAGAUGUUCCCCUAUAUCUUCUUCCUCCUUUUCCACACAUACGUAUAAUACAACAUUAAGGAUAAAUUUUUUUGCCAUAAUAUGAUUUAUGAUUUUGUAAAUGCUUUUCACAGAUGAACUAGGCAGUAUAGUAUAAUUAUAUUUUGUUUCUGGUAACACUCUUUUGUGUUUUUGAACUAGAAAAUCAUUACUUGUUUCAUUUGCUUGGUUUCUAGGCACUUAUCAAAACUAAUACCAAAAAAAAAAGCCCAAAUUUUCUUCUGAAGCUGUUACAAUCUCUCAGAAUUGCCAAACAAAUCUAGACUCUCCAACAAUUCUACUUUAAAAAAAUGAUUGUGUCUAUUCUCCGUGCUACUGCUUAAAUUGAGAUGAUUUUUCCCUCUCAUCUGAGACACACACUCUGGGACCCCACACUUGCUUACCUUUUUAUUCUUUGUAUGAAUAAAAAAAUUGACUUUUAAUAAAUCAAAUGAUUAUA